rnacentral:rRNA from 1 species
UACGUAGGGGGCAAGCGUUGUCCGGAUUCAUUGGGCGUAAAGAGCGUGUAGGCGGCCAGGUAGGUCGGUUGUGAAAACUGGAGGCUCAACCUUCAGAGGUCGACCGAAACCAUCUGGCUAGAGUCCGGGAGAGGAGAGUGGAAUUCCUGGUGUAGCGGUGAAAUGCGCAGAUAUCGUAAGGAAGACCAGUGGCGAAGGCGGGUCUCUGGACAGUUCCUGACGCUGAGGCACGAAGGUCAGGGGAGCAAACGGG